UUUGGCAUUAGGGUUAAAAUCACUGUCCAAAACCUUUGUAGGAACUCUUUUCCAACCUUUUGGAGUUGGUUACACCAACAAAAAUGUAAAAUGAAGAAAAAAAUAUUUGGGGUGUUCAGGCUUCCUGAAGGUAAUACCAGGGUAUUAGAUUUUAAGGCUAGGGUAAGGUUUAAGGUUUUUGGCGUUAGGGUUAAAAUCACUGUCCAAAACCUUUGUAGGAACUCUUUUCCAACCUUUUGGAGUUAGUUAGACCAAAAAAUAUGAAAAAAGAAAAAAAUAUUAUUGGGGGUUUUCGGGCUCCCUGAAAGUAAUACCCGGGUAUUAGGUUUUGGGGCUAUGGUAAGGUUUAAGUUUUUUGGCGUUAGGGUUAAAAUCACUGUCCAAAACCUUUGUAGGAACUCUUUUCCAACCUUUUGGAGUUAGUUUGACCAAAAAAAAAUGAAAAAUGAAAAAAAAAUAUUUGGGGAGUUCAGGCUUCCUAAAAGUAAUACCCAGGUAUUAGGUUUUGUGGCUAGGGUAAGGUUUAAGUUUUUUGGCAUAAGGGUUAAAAUCACUGUCCAAAACCUUUGUAAGAACACUUUUCCAACCUUUUGGAA